rnacentral:rRNA from 1 species
UACGUAGGGUGCGAGCGUUGUCCGGAAUUAUUGGGCGUAAAGAGCUCGUAGGCGGUGUGUCACGUCGUUCGUGAAAACCUGCAGCUUAACUGUGGGCGUGCGGUCGAUACGGGCAUCACUGGAGUUCGGCAGGGGAGACUGGAAUUCCUGGUGUAGCGGUGAAAUGCGCAGAUAUCGCUUGGAACGCCAAAGGUGAAAACAGGUUGCUGGGGUUGUGCCGACGCUGAGACACGAAAGCCAGGGGAGCAAACGGG